GAGACUUGAGUGCAGGAGNNNNGNNNNGAAUUCCAUGUGUAGCGGNGANANGCGUAGAUAUAUGGAGGAACACCGGAGGCGAAAGCGGCUCUCUGGCCUGUAACUGACACUGAGGCUCGAAAGCGUGGGGAGCAAACAGGAUUAGAUACCCUGGUAGUCCACGCCGUAAACGAUGAGUGCUAGCUGUAGGGAGCUAUAAGUUCUCUGUAGCGCAGCUAACGCAUUAAGCACUCCGCCUGGGGAGUACGACCGCAAGGUUGAAACUCAAAGGAAUUGACGGGGGCCCGCACAAGCGGUGGAGCAUGUGGUUUAAUUNGAAGCAACGCGAAGAACCUUACCAGGUCUUGACAUACUCGUGCUAUCCUUAGAGAUAAGGAGUUCCUUCGGGACACGGGANACAGGUGGUGCAUG
rnacentral:rRNA from 1 species